GGGGCCGAGUUGGUUUCGACGUUGGUCAAAAAGUAGAUUGUUGCAUGUCGAGCACCAGUAAGCUCGAUAAAACACUGGAAAAAAUAUAAACGCCAACGAUACGCGUUUCAAGCUAGCAGCUUAACUCUAGCCGUUGCACUAAUCUUUCCUUGGAUUAGACAGUAAAAAGUAUAUUAUUUAUAUGCUAAUAUCUGUAGCAACGUCAUAUACAAGGAAUCAGUUUGUUUUGCUUUCACUCAAAACAAACCUAAUAUUAUGUGAAUCGUUUAUAUAUGGCCUGUUAGUUGGCAUGUAUAUAAAUUAAAACAAUAAACUAACUAAACAUGUAGAAAUGACUAUGGCAGACUAGCGGACGGGGGUUCGAUUCCCCCCGGCUCCACCA
rnacentral:tmRNA from 1 species